UUCUGCCUAGCAAAUUUCCUUCAUUUGCUUUAACCAUGUUAACAGGAAGAAUUAAAUUACUUUCCCAGGUUCUGGAGGGGCUGGCUGCCCUGGAGGAAGCAAAAUUAAAGGAGGCAAUUGAUGAAGAAAAGACAAAGGUCCGAGAUUUGGAAGCUCAGAUGAAGCGAUUGGCUGAGGUAAUUGAACUUAAAACAAAAUCAGAAGAAGCUCUAAAUGCCAAGAUAAAGAAGGCUCUGGAGAGCCUAGAAGAGGCUACAAGAAGAAAGACAGUGGCAGAAGAGAAGCUAACCGUCUGGGAGAAACGUCUGAAGAGCAUUGAGAAUGAGAAUGAGAUGCAGAAGCAGAAGCAUCAGGAGGAGAUAACAGAAUAUAAGGAACAGAUCAAGCAACACUCAAAGACAAUAGUGGACUUGGAAAACAAAUUUGUGGAAGCUGUCCAGAAGCUGAAGGUGGCAAAGGAGGAAAAUGCAAAGCUUCAGAAGCAAAUAGAAGGUCAGCAGAGAAAACAGAGAAUGCUCUUGUCUGGUGCCCUUGGCAUAUCCUGUCAUACUUGGGGCCAGUUCAUGCCAACAAACUGCACUGAAGUUUUCUAAAAUAACCUGCUGAUUGAUUAACUCAAGGGGUGACUUUUUUUCUUAAAUCAAAAUGUUUUAAUCAGUUACCCUAACUGAGUAAACAAUUGUUGAUUUAAAUCAGCCUUUUCUAAGCUAGUGGCCUCCAGAUGUUUUGCACUACGACUCUCUUUACCUCCAGCAAACACGGGGAUGAUGGGAGUUGUAGUCUGAAAAACGAUCCUGAGAGUAUCUAACCAUCUUAGGCACAACUGAUUAAUCUGAAUAGU
rnacentral:lncRNA from 1 species